rnacentral:misc_RNA from 1 species
AUCGACAGCAACAUCCUUGCGGUUUCCUGAUUCUUGGUUCACCGAAGCAGCACCAUCUUGAGUUGAAAGACAAUUUCCAAAUGUGCUAGGAGAAAAGGUUGCCUCAGGAGCAAGCACAAGCUCAAGUUCAUCCACCUCUAUCCGAAAGCCAUCCCCUUGCCAAGGCAUUUUCAUAAGCAGAGAGCCGAUUGAUCCUUCUUGAACAUAUACGGCUGCUGCGGAACCAAACUUUUGAUUGAGAUAAUCAACAUUGAGGGCAAGAUCAGAGAGCUGAAUGAUACCGGCCCUGGCUUGCACAUCGAGUUGAUCGAGAUCAAUAUCACCAAGUAUAAAUUUCCCCAAUUUCUUCUUCAACCAGAACUUGCAAAACCUCUUGAUUGCCCAGCGCGAGAACAACUUCUCCGCAGACCUCGCGAAGUUCCACAUUCUACCAAAUUUUGCACUUCAAUUCAAUUAACAAAACCAGAAAACUAGGGUUUAGAGUUUCCAAUUAACAGAAUCUUCUUGCGAUGGAG